AAAUACUCAUUGGUUAUGAAGAUUUUGCACCGGCCGCAAAUUGGCCUUCUACUUUUUAGUAUAUAGUAGAGAGUCAACACUUCCUUAAAAUCUAAACGUCCGCUUCCAUCGAUGUCUAGUUGAUUGAAGAAGUCACGAGUACGCAUGUUCUCAUCGUGUGCUUUCUGCGACAUGAAAUCUGAAAACUCCCUGUAACUCACCCUACGGUUUCCAUCUUUAUCCAUUGAUUGGAAAAAUUGGUUGAAUAAACGUCUUUCUUCAUCGGUUCCAGAAUUAUAAUAGGCUAAAGCAACCUUUCUCAACGCCUCCAUUGCAGUUUCUUUUAUGGCUUAAUUUGCCAGAGAUUGUGAGGAGUGAACACCUUCUUAUAUAUAUUUUUCUCCAUAUGUUAUGUUAUUAUGCUAAUUGUUUAGUCUUAGGGAAAAUUAUUAAAACCUCCUCACCCGCCGCCCCCCCUUCAUGUUUCAGUAAAUUAACCUCUUCUCUUUCAUAUUUCAAAACCUAUAAAAAAAAACCUCAGUUAUUAACAGCUUCUCUUAACUUCAGACUUAUGAUUGAUUUUUUAAUGGAUAAUUAAUUGCUGAAAUUAAUAAAAAGUAAUCAUAUGUCAGAUUUUCUAAUUAUGAGAAAAUUUUGAUGAAUUUUAAAACAAGAGGAAAAAAUGAUUAAUUUAAACAAACAAAACAACAGAGGGGGUGUAAUCAUUUUCCAUUUAUAUUUCUCUAACUUUCAUGUAUGCCUGGUUUUUUCAACAAGGGAAGAUUCUCAACUACUUAUUGAAGCAACCUAGUGUAUGUGCAUGUCUGCAUGAUUAAAAUAAAUCUUCUUGACCCCAGCAUACUGUGAUUAAAUUCUUUUAAUUAAUUUUUAAAAAAACGCUAAUAGUCAUGUAUUUGGUAGCGAGUCUGCAUAGAAGAAUAUGAUAAACAUAUUGAUGUUUCCUUAAUUAAUAGUAAUUAAUCGCGGAUUAAGAAGUGGGAACUAUAUUUAUGACGACGACAUAUUUGUGACAUACAUAGAAGAUGCCCCGAGAGAAUUCAACUUUCAUUUUUUAAUCAAUCAAUUAAAUUAGCAUUUUAGUACUGUACACACUGAAGGGAAAUGAUAGUCAAAUUUUAAAAGUUUCAAGAAGCAAAGAGGAGAAACUGGAGAGUCUUCACAUUUGUUGGUUUUAACGGAUUUUGUAACAUUAUAACAAAUAUUUUUUGUUAUAGGCUACGGUGCAUAUUAUACUUAUAGUUAUAGUAUAUAAGUUGUUCUCGCUACAAGGUAUCAACGAUUUUUUAAAAGAUUUUAAAAAAUAUAAAAUUAUGGAUAUGUUAAAGGUAAAUGUUCUUUUAAUACCUAUAGUUUGAAUUAAUUGCAUAAUUAAUAGCUUUAUUUUUAAAAAAUAUUACUCAAAAUAUUUGUGUUUUUACUUUCAUACAUGUAUGUUUUAAUUUCUCCAGGAUAAACUAAUAGUUUCGUCUUAUAUAACUUAUAACUUUAAAAAAAAAAAUCUAACAUAUAAUAGGUGAAAAAUUAUCCUAAUAAAUUUUAAUGGGUCUCUAAAGACAUAAUCGAACAACUUUUAAAUAACUUUAUUUUGAUUGGCGACUCGAGUUGGAAUCUUAAAAAAAGCUAAGGAGUUAAAAAUUCAAUUUGAGUUUUGUCCAAAAUAAAUUUUAAUGGAAACAAGUAUAUGACAUUGACAAGGACCGUUAGUCAGUCUUUAAAAAUAUAAAGACUGACUAAGUAAUUAAAGAUGAACAUUAUGCGGUCUACGCGGGUUUGAACUAACAAACAUGCAUUUUUUAGCGUUUCAAACUUGAACACUAAUGUUUUUUUACUAAAAGGUUCAAACGUUCAACAAAAGCUCAAACGUCAAAAGUUUAAACAUUUUUUAGCGUUUACCAUACAGAAGUUCAAACGUCAAGACCGAAAUUAAUAAAGUAUGUGGCAUGGAUGUGAGUCGCCCAAAAACUAAAAUGUUUUAGAAUCCACAUUUUGCAGGCCUUGCCACAUUUUCCAAAAAAAAAACAAUAUUUUAAAAGAAAAAAAGCAAACUCUAUUGUUAAAGUUCGUCUUUUAUUAAUGAUUGCCGACAGAUGAUGCCUUGGAGCCCAAAGCUACAUACUCAACUGUUAUUGUUGGCACGCAAUAAUUCAUUGGCAAUAUUUGUAUUGAUUUAUUAUUAUAAUCUUCCCAAUCACCGGACCUUGGCACGUCGGCUACCUAUAUAUAUAUAUAUAUAGAUAUAUAUAUACAGCUGUAGUCCUGUGGACACAUUAAGGCUCCAAUUUCUAAUAAAAUCUAAACAUACUAAUAUACGUAGAUUUCAAAUAAUUAACAAACAUCCAGCAUAAAAGAUACGUAGUGUGUAGUAUCUGUAGUCUAUACCUAUCUAUAUUAUUUCCAAUUUUAAAGUAAAUCUGAAUAGUGUUGCAAAUAUUGGCUUCAUUCAUUUUUGUCGUAUCAGUGAUACUCUAGUGAGCGCUUUUUUUUUUUUUUGGACAAGCUCUAGUGAGUACCUGGUUUAGGCGUUGAAGUUUCUUUUUGUUGGGUGAUCAGCGAGGAAGUUUCGCUAUUUUUUAAUUUAUAAUUUUCUUGCUUGAGCACUUAAUCUCUCGGGUUUCCUACUUUACCACUCUCUCUCAGGGUCGGCGUUGGCUCAACUCUUGUCCGGUUCGUUUUGUCUUCCAAUGGCAUAUCGACACGCCCUAACUUUUUUUCAAGAAAAGUGCAUCUAAAUUAUUAUUUUUUAAAAAAAAAUUGAAUCAUGUCUUUUAACUAUUGAAUUUUCAAGUGGUAAAGUGCAACCUUUUUAGGAACCAGUUUUGAAUUUGAUCUACUAAUAAAAUAAAAAAUUAUUUUAUUUGUUAACCUUAUGGGGCCACUAGAUUAGUGAGUUUCAAUAGGUGCACGAGUUAAUUAAGGGACAGUGACCACCCUUAAAACUAUAAAUAGAUGUGGAAGUGAUGAAAUCAAUGGUUUAACAUCCAUUCUCCUAUCACCAAUUGAUUUUUAAAGGUAAAUGACAACUUUUACUUUAAAACUCCGUAAUUAGACAUGUUGAAGCAUUUUGUGACUGGUGAGACCUUAUCAUUUUUUUUUAUUGCAAUGUUCUACUGCUUCAUAGACGAUCAUUCAAUGAAAAUUAAACAUGUAAGCAUAUUAUGAGUUUAAUAUACAUGUUUGUGUGACAUUGUGAAAAUUGGUUGAUGAAACUAACAAAUGACCUAAGACAGAUUACGCUUUGCUAUUUUAAGUGAGUCUAUACUUCAUAUACACUUUGCCAUUGAAUCAUGCAACAAUAAUUCACUUAAAAUGCAAUUUGUAAUUUGAAUGUAUUGUGUAAAAUGGGGCAUAAUAUCAUCCUAAAAUAAAUAUUUAUACACACACACACACACAAAAGAAUCAGAUCAACAAAUUGAUGGUAAAAAGAUUUUCUCAAUUUCUCAACAGCAAACCAAAGACAGUUCCUCCAUUUCCACCUUCGGAGAGCUCCUAUCAGCCUCUCUCUCAUAGGUAUUUUAGUUUUUUUUUUUUAAUUUUAGUUUCGUUAUUCCUCCACUAAUGGAGACUGUUAUUUAGGGUUGAUAAAUUAAGGAUUUGGGCCGGGCUUUUUCAAGCUCAGACCUAAGACCAUUAGAAUAGUAGUGUAAGGAUUGGGUCUAGGCCAAGCCCACUGUAGGGCUGGACUAGAAUUGAGCUAAGCUUGAGCUUUUACUUAUUUUUUAAUUUUUUUAAAAUUAUUAUAAACUUGAAAUGAGUUCAUAAUAAUUAAGUUAUUAUAAUCAAUAAUAAAUUAAAAUAAAAUAAAUAUUUGAAAAUAAAUUAGUAAAUAAAAAAAUUAAGCAAAUAAAAGUUUAGGGAUUUAAUUUUUAGUACUUGCUCACUAAUUAAAGCACUCUCUUAAUUAAUUAACAUUUAAAAGAAAAUUUAAAAUUAUAAUUUAAAAUUUUUUAUUAAUUAUUAAUAUAUAAAUUAGGAAUUUAAACUUUUUUUUUAUUUUUCAAAUUUAAAUUUAUUAUUUUAAUUUAUAAUUUCCUUUUAAAAAAAAUAGAGGUCUUAAGGUUGGGUUGUAUGUGUGUGUGUGUGUGUGUUUUUUUUUUUCUAAACCCUCAUGUGAGAGGCCCGAACCAAAGUCUAUUGGAAUGGACGGCCCCAAGUUUUUACGAUCUCUACUGCUAUUCCUCUUAACGCCAAACAUCUGAAUUUUUGUGUUAUAUUGUGCUGUUCUUCUAUAUUUUAUGUGGCUUUAAGGCUCAAAUCUAGAAAGUUACGCGUUACAUAUCGUUGUUAGACGAGCGUUUAUAGCAUCAUUUUGAAAGAUGGAGCCACUUAAAGGUGAACUCAUGCUCUCACUUUGGUGACUCUCGUAAAAUAACUCUUCCAUUUAAAAUUGAAAAGAGAUAAUCUUUUGUUCUAUUAGUGCGGUUUGAGCAUAAGUUGCUUUCAAUGUGCGCGAUGGAAAAAAUUUAUAACUGUGCUAAUGUUUCGAAGAACAGACGCAUUGGAAACGUCGACCACGCAUUCACAACUUGGGAAGGAAAGUCAGUCAGGGGCGGUAGUCAAGUCGCUGACUGCUUGUUCCUCGAGCAGCAAGUCGAACAAACUUUGACACACUACUUUUUUUUUUUUUAGUUUUCAGCAAAAAAUAUAAUAUGCUAUUUGUUUUAAGCGGUUACUCUAUACAAAUAUAGGGAAAAAAAUUAAUAAGAAAAUAGUGAUUUCAAAACCUAUCAAAAGCUCUAAUUAAAUUGACAAAAAUAAUGCAUUAUGCCACAUGUCCGGUGGAAAAGAUUUUUAAGACCAAGAUUAGUCCACCGCACAGACAAGUCAUCAGAGCGACUCUUAAAAUAAAUUAAAGGGAAAUUAUCAAUCGUAUAUCCUUAAUUUACUCUGUUAUCAAAUUUAAUACAAUACUUUCAGGGUAUAUCAGUCAUCCACUCUAAGUUGACAAAAUAUAUAUACCGUCUACUAAAUCAUUAGUUGCCAUUUAAAUAUGAUGACGUCAGAUGGGUAAUCUCGUCUUUUCAUAUGAUACAAAUGAUAAUUUAAAGGUAUAUAAGUGAUAAUAAGAUAUUUUAAGGGUAUACAAGUGAUAAUUUUUAAAGGUAAAAUUAUCAAUUCGUUACUGUUCCGUUAACUUUCAAACGGCAACUAACGGUUUAGUGGACGGUAGAUAAUUUUUGUCAAUUUAAGGUGGACAAUUGAUAUAUUUUUAAAGUAUUAUAAUAUUUUAAAUAAAAAUACAAAUUUAAAGUAUAUGAAUGAUAAUUUUCUUAAAUUAAAAUAAGCAUAAAAUAGCUCGUUCUUAUCCACUCCCCUCGAAUCACAUGAUUACAAUUUUCAGACCCACAGGAUUAUUAUUACGCGCCAUCGCUCUAUGAUGAGACUCAACGAACGCAAAGCCCAUUCACUGUGACAGACUCGCAGGAGAGAGAUAUAAUCAAUCAUCAAGGUUCCAAGAAUGAAGAAGCUUGCGAAGAGCCACAGCCACGGUGAAAGAAACAAAUCAACAACAGAUCAGCAGAGUGACAAGAAAUCAGCAACUGGCAUGAACGGAUCACCCAAAAAGAAAGGACACGGAGGCAAGUACACGUGGUCAGGCGACGGUUACUCGCAGGCUGAGAUCGGCUUCGACGAAGCCAUCGAUGCUAAUGAUCCUAACUUUGAAGGUCCUGAAGAUCAGAAGGAGACCGUCGCCGUUUGAUUUUGUUUUUGAUUCUGAUGAUUUACUAGUUUAUGAUCGUCGCUGUUUAAUAUUUUAUUUAAUUUUUGCUCUUUCAAAAAGAUGAGAUGAGAUUUAGAUGUACAUACCUUGUGAUUUCGUCUUUCAAUAAAAUCCAUACGUCUUUCUUCUGCAAUUAAUCGGCUAAUGUCAGAUUUAGAUUCAACUUUUCUCUAAUUGUAGAUAUACAAUUGCGUUACAUUAUGUUGAUAUAUGAGGGACUAUGAUAAUGAAACUAUAAUAAACAAUAGGUGAAUAAGGCAAAACAUGUUAUCUUACCACCCCAGCAGAAGCCCACAGCCCCAGUUGCAGUCAUACCUUUGCAUAACUGAAACAUUAACAUUAACUAAUGGCUCUUCAAAUCCCUUUUCCUAUUAGAAAAGUAAAUGGCUCAGCACUGAAACAUUAACAUGGCCCUCUAUAACAACAUUGAAUAAUGAAAUACAUUUUGUCAUGUAUCAGAAGUCUGGAACCAACCACUCCAUGAUCUUUUAUCCAUUCCUGUAGGGGUCUCCCGCCAUCUACAUUUGGAUCCCCAUGAAAGAAGUCAGGAACUGCGACAUAGAAUCCAGCUGCUGCAACCUUGUCUGCAAGCUUCCUUUGUUGUAGAAAGCAUCUGAUAUUAGCUCCCAGUCGAACACAGGGUAGCAAUAUGAUAGAGCAAACUGGCAGAUAAAUGAACACAUGCUUGUACAAUGUUUAUAAAUAGAUACCAAAUCACGGUACCAUUGACCCAGAGUUGUUUUCAUGGUGUACAUAAUUUUAAAUUUUCAAUUAGAUACCCCCUGAAUAUGUUUACCAGUGAUUGAGGCAGGUUCCAAAAUGUACAAAUUUUUCUUAACCCGAAGAAGAGCAUGAAUAAUAAUAGCAAAGACAAAGACACGUAGAAUCAUAAAUUAAGAUAAGCUCACAAAACAAAUCAAUUAGCUGUGGAUGCAAGAGAAAGAAAUUAGAGCAAGUCAUACCUCAAGUUUGGAGCUUCAUAACCUGCAAGAUAAGGCGAAGACAAGUAAGAAUUAGAAGGCGAAGACAAGAAAGAAUUAGAAGCUUAUAGAGGCAGAAGAAUAAAGGUGAACAAAAUAGGUAGAGUCAAUACGAAAUGAAAUGGAGGACAAAGAGAACCGACAAACACCCUGAUUAACCAAUCAAAAGAUGCAUAAACACAAGCAACCCUGAUGAUAAAUUGAAGUGAGAGAAACAAAAUUAACUAGUGAAAACAAGAAAUGGAAAAAACAGUGAAACAUACACACAGCAAAAGACUAAAACAAAAGCAGCCCAGAUGUAAUUUGCCCAAAUAAACACAACCCAGAUCAUAAUUUGCAGUGAAAAUAUAAGAAGUGAAUGGACAUGAUACUGAGAUGGGUCAGGUACCGAAAACGUCGGAAAUGAGAAGAGCAGCAAGCUUGGAGUCAGGAGAGCCAGUGAUGUAAGUGUUGAGUCCACCAAGUUUCUCAACAUGACCUGCUCCACCGUUUGGAUUCAGUGUUGGUGGAUUUGCACAGCACUGAGGGCCUGACAUUUUUCUCCUGCUUAUGCUUAACCUUCCUUACACUACUGUUCAGAAAACGCUCUCUUCUUCUAUCACAAACGCGUAUGAUUGUAUAUCUAUUUAUAUAGAGUUUCAGCAUGUUCACUGCCGGGACUCUAUUUCCCUCCCAAUUGUUUAUACUUUCAAAAAGAAACAUGUGGGUUAUGGUUCGUGAGAGUUAUAAAUUAUUAUGCCGGAAGCCUGCGUCACGGCGUUGCAUCUUUCUAUUUAGCUUCCGACAUUUUUUAGUUAGAGUUAUGUAGCUUCCGACAUUUUUUUAUUUGGAGAGUAACAAUUUCUUAUUUUUCUUGGGCCACACGCCACUCCGUUUUAUGUAUAGGUUCGUUGAUUCGGAAGAACAAUGCUUGCUUGGUCCUUGCCACGAAUCUUUUGCAUCAAGUAAUUAUUUAUUUAUUGGUGAUUGGCAUUUAUUUAUUUUGCUUUUAAUUUUACUUGGAAGGUAACAAUUUGUGCUUUUUCUUUGGUUCUUAUCAUGCCACUUCAUAUAUAAAAGUUCGGAAUACUGUUUGGUCCAUGCCACUAAUCUCUGCAUAAAAUUUAAAUAAUAGAACGAUCAGCAUUAUAACAUUUUUUAACUUUGACAGAAACCUGUUAAUUUCUUAAUUUGACCAAUUGGUUUUGCAAAUAAUUUUAUUUGACUAGCGUUCCAGAUCCUUAUACCCACUAAUUCAUGAGUCGUUAAUAAAUUAUGGAAUUUUAUAAGUUUAAAUAUUUAUUUAGUAUAACUUAUAAUACAACCAUUAGUAUUUAUUUACUCUUAAUUUUUUUCAAAAUGAUUUAUGAGUAUUUAUUUCUAUUUUCAGAAUAAAUAUUAUUAUGUUAAGAACUAAAUAAAUUAUUUUACAUCUACUAAUAAAAGUUCAAAGAGAUUUAAAAAAAAUAAACAACUUAUAGCCUAUUUAAAAAGUUCAGUUGUCUAAAAUAUUCAUUAUUUAUUUACACUUUUAUUUCAUUGUUUUCAUAUUAUAAUUUUCAAAAUUAUCUAUUAAUAUAAUUUUAUAAAUUUUAAUUAAUGAGUAAACAACUAAUUUUUUUUAACUGAAAACCUAAUAAAAAUCCUAAAUGAAUAAACUUUAUUUGAGAAGCUAUAUGCCUAAAUUCAUCAAAAUUAUUCACACUUAAAGCAAAAUUGAUUAGAGUUAAGCAGCACUACAUAUAUUUUCGAGAAAUAUAUUAAGACAAGUUAAACAAAAUGAAUUUUCAAAUAAUAGAUUUUCUUUUUCAAAUGAAGAAGGGGCGCAAGCCCAGCGCCACAAAGAACCUUCAGCAAAAGCCUGACCACAUGCGGUGCCAAUUUUUCAUUCAUCAUAUCACGUAUAUUUUUAUUCAAUAUCACUAUGUCACUAAAUGUUGACAUAGUACUGAUUCGAUCAUUCAUCAGAUACAAUAACUAUCAACGAGAGUACCAAGGUUCACAGACACGAAGCAGCACAAUAAUCCAUUCCAUGCGGUUCCUCAGUUGACAUACUUGGCAAACCAUUCCAGCAUAUCUUGAUGAGCUUCCUCUGCACACUUCACAGCAGAUUUGUCUUCUACAUUGUAUCUCACCGUCCAUCCGUGAGAAACUUUUGGAAAUAUUUUCACAUACCCAUCAACCUGCUAACAAAUAUAUCACAAAUAAGAGAGUCAUCGAAACUGCUUUUAACCAUAGAUCCAGAUAACUUUGAAGCAGAAAUGAAACUUUGAUGUGAACUUGUUAAGUGUUGUUACGAAUACACAGAACAGAAGAGGUCCAGAUAAAUUAAACUUUACUGAUAUAUUGCUUUUAUUGGAAUGGAAGAUGAGCUCUCGAAAUUGAUGGAAAAACAGAAAAAAUGGUCGCAUUGUACAUGUUAUUAAAAAGCACUGAAUUUAUGUAUAUACAUAUAUAUACCUCAGAUUUAGCAGUUAAGACCUCUUCAAAUUGCUUCAAGAGAUCUGGGGGAGAAAUCUGAUCAAACUCAGCUCCCAGUACUGCAGUGGGAACCUCAACCGCUGAAAGCAAUACCAACCAAUAUGGUUUGUUACACCAAAUAAAACAAUGAAUAGUCCAACAAAAGAUUAAGAAACAAACUAAAACACUUUCCCAUCCGCAUGCAAUAUAAUAAUCAUAACUUUUAUAAAGACUUGUAUGUAAACUAUGUGUACACUCAACAAUAAGCAUUUCUCGCCUAGGAACACACACUGAAAGGGGGAAAAUCCAUGAAUCCGUACCCUUGAUAUCAUCUACAGUUACGAAAGAGGGAUGUAACAGCACAGCAGCUUGGAUGAACUCGCGCUUCGCUAGUUGAACUGCUACUUUAGCUGAGAAUAAAAGUUAGUUAAUAGCGGUCAGUUCAAUGAUCAAUGGUGAAAAUCAAGGAUUUAUACCUUCAAAGUCUAUCUAGUUGAAAUAUGAGAGACUUGAUAAUGAAACCAUCAUGAAAAGAAUACAUGAGCAAGGGAAAACAUGUAUCUUACCACCCCAGCAGAAGCCUGCAGCACCAAUUGCAGUUAUACCUUUGCUCUUAAUAGCGUGAAUAACUGGCUUUGCCUCUUCAAAUGCCUUAUCCUAUAAGAAAAAUAAAUGGCUAGCCCAGUCACUGAAAAGUUUAACACGAGGGACCAACCACAACAUAUAGAUUCAAUACGUCAUAUUAGAACAGUGUAUACAACGAUGUAGUUCAGAAUUAGUACAUUAAUAACAAUAGACCGAUUGGGUAGCUAGAUCCAAUCCACUCACCAAUCAAGACAGCUCAAAAUAUGAAAAUAUAUAACAGCACUAAGAGUGACGAAAUCAAAACGGCCCCAUGCAACAAAAUUAAAUGGUCAAAUAAGUUUUGUAGAGUAUCACAAGUACAGAACCAACCGUUCCAUGAUCUUUAAUCCAAUCUUGUAGUGUUCUUCCAGCAUUAGGCACAUAAGGAUCUCCGUGAAGGAAGUCAGGAACUGCCACAUAGAAUCCAGCUGCAGCAAUCUUGUCCGCAAGCUUCCUUAAAUUUAAAGCAUCUGAUAUCUGAUGUUAGCUCCCAAAAAAGCACAGGGUAACAUUUUAAUGGCAAAUCAGCAAAUAAUCACAUAUAUCUUAUAUACGUAGAUGCCAACUCACAACACUGCUAGCCCCAAGUCAUUGUCAAAACCAUCAGUAAAUCCUCUAUUAGCAUCUUCAAAUAUGCUUCACUGGAUUAGUAAUUUCAGAAUCAUUACACUGACAAGACAAAUAAAUUUUCUUUCACGAUUGAGUUAAGGUCCAAACCGCAUGAAUUUUUCUCAAUCCAUUAAAGGUGUUAGCACAAAAGGAAAUUAAUAGGAAAGACAACAAAAAAGAAAAAAAAGAAAAGCAGAAUCAUAUAUCAAACAGAGCUUUUAAAAACGCAUCAAUAAGUUGUUAUAGCAAGCCAUACCUCAAGUUUGGAGCUUCAUAUACUGCAGGACGAGGCAAAAGAAAAGUAAAAAAAAUAAAAAUAGUAGUAAACAGAAAAAAGGUUGAACAACAUAGGUGUAUGAUCAAUAGGAAAUCAAACACGUGAUGUGCAAUCUACAUCUACUUAAGGUAUCAAUAAAAUUUUCAUAAAAAAGACAAACAAAGAAAAAAAAGGGGAAAAAUAAAAAACACAACCAUAUAGAUGGUAAAUUUAGGUUAAAAAAACAAAAUAAAGAACUGAAGAUUACCCAUUAACCAUUUCAAAACCACAAAGCAAACCCACAUAAAAACAAUUACAAAACUCAAGCAAAAUACUCAAACAAGAGCAACCCAAACGACAACAUAUUGCUCGAACAGAAACAACCCAGAUUAUACUUUGAUGUAAAAAAAGGAAAAAAUGAGGAGAUGUAAUGAGAUGGGUUAAGUACCAUAAACGUCGGAGACAAGAAGAACAGCAAGUUUUGAGUGAGGAGAGCCAUUGACAUAGGCGUUAAGUCCACCAAGGUUCUCAACGUGGCCUCCUCCAGCGGUUGGGUUCAAUGUUGGUGGAUUCGCACAACACUGAGGACCUGACAUCUCGUUUGUUCUGUUUAACCUUAAACUCCUGUCUGCAAAAUACUAUAUAUAUAUAUAUAUAUAUAUCGCUAGAGGGACCUAGAAAUAUAUCGACUUCUAGUGAGUUAUCUCCAGAACAAUUACCAGAGGUAUUACGAAUAAUCUGGUGCAACGAGUCAUCUGGUGCAAUAAAGUUCAGAAAAGUGCUUCGCAUCUCAUAUAAAGUAAGAAAAGUACAUCGCAUCAUCUUGGCGUCAGCUUGUCCAUGUAGGGCUUCAUUUCACUUUUCACGUUUCACACAAAAUGAAAAAAUGCAUAAUAAAUGUUGGUGACAAAUAGGAGGACUUGUGGAUGAGAAGUUAGCUUGAGUUAGCAGAUUGUAAGUUUAAUUGUUGUGAUAAAAAUGCACUGUUUAUUUUCUUUUAAACUUGUGUUCUUGUAACUUCUAUUGUAAGUUGUAUAUUUAUCCUCUUUAUAAAGUGUCUGUAAUCAGAUACGCAAAUAAUUUCAGAUCAGUUUAUGAUUUCCACUAUAAUUUCCACCGGAAGGUCUGGCAUCUUAUUACUUCGUUUUCCCAUCGAUUGAACAAACAAUUGAAAAUUAAUGAACUCUCUCUGGAACUAAAACAAAAGGAUGAUAAAAUAACUGAAUCCUGAUUAUGGUUAUAACUCUUAUAGAUGGUGCUUUGUGGGCGAGCAAUUAAAUUGCGAUUAAGAAUAGCCUUACGCCUUUUUUCUUUUUUUUAACUUUCUAUUGCAACUUAAGAGUUUAGAGGUUCUCGUGUGUCCAUCAUCAGUCCAUGUGAAUCGUUUAAAAAAGUAAAUAAAUACAUAAAUUGACUGUUUUCUUGGCAUGGACCAAACAGAACUGUUACCGUCCAAAUAUUCUGGGUAAUAUAUGCCCAUGAGCCUUAUAAUGAUAAAUUGCUUACUAGGCCCUGAACUUGUAUGGCUUUCUAGCAUCCCCUGAAGCCUAAACGUCUGCUUUGCACAUUUAGCCUGGAGGUUAGAAAGUGUAAUUGACUAAAGGUUAACAGCUUACUAAAUAUAUCUACAGUUUGAUCCUCAGCGCAUAUAUAACGAAUCUCAAUAUCUUUAUUCAAAAUUUUCUCAUACAAAGUGUAGGCCAAUUUCAAUGUUCUUUGUCCUGCCAUGAUUAACUACAUUAGAAGCCAAAGUUACUGCACCUGCAUUAUCACACCAAACAACUGGCAUAUGAAUUAGUUUCAUAUGCAAUUCUGUAAGCAAAGAUGUCAACCAAAUUAACUCUGUUGGCACACUUGCUAAGGCUUGAUGUUCAGAUUCACAACUUGAUAGAGCAACAAUAAAUUACUUUUUAGAAGACCAUGAUACUAGGCUGUUGCCUAAGUACACAAAAUAACCAUCAUCAGAACGUCGAUCAUCAAGGUCACAUGCCCAAUCAGCAUUCGUAUAGGCCAGAACUUCUAUUCUGUUUGCAAGCCUACCAAUACAACUUAUAAGGACACGUAAGAGAUUCACUAAGCUUAUUAACAACAUAUGCUAUCUCUGGUAUAGUCAAAAUUGUUAACACUUAAAGAAAAAUUGAUUAAAGUAUCACUACAUUUAUUUUCAAGAAAUAUAUUAAAACAAGUUAAACAAAAUGAACUUUUAAACAAUUGAAUAAAAUAUUGUUUCUUUUUUCAAAGAACCUUCAGCAAAAGCCUGACCACAUACGGUGCCAACUUUUCAUUCAUCGUAUCAUACAUGUUUUAUUCAAUUUUAAUUACAUGAACAUCAGGCACACUAAAUGUUGACAUACUUAUACAAUCCUUCAUCAGAUACAAUAACUAUCAACUAGAGUUCCAAGGUUUACACACAUGGAGCAGUACAAUAAUCCAUUCCAUGAGGUCCCUCGCUUGACGUACUUGGCAAACCAUUCCAGCAUAUUUUGAUGAGCUUCCUCUGCACACUUUGUUGGGAAAAUAUGCUCUUUAAAAACAUAUGUGUUUAUUUAAUUGUAAUAAAUAAUUUUUCUGAUUAAUAAAAUAAAUGAGGUAUUUUAUUCAAAUAUCUUAAUUGCAUUAAUAUUUGUAAGUUCAUUUAAUCAUAUUAUAUGUAUUUAUGUGAUCACCAUGUGAAUUCACAGAAGACAUAAAUACAAGUUAUCUUAUGAUUAAAUAAAUUUAGUUCGCAGUUGAUAAAUAAAGUUGGGCACUUUAUUUAGGUAUAGACUGUAAUAAAUUCAUUGAAUGAUUUGUCUUAAUCAUGUAUGGAUUUAUUGAUGUAGUACGACUACAUUGAACAGGAUCACAUACGAGAUUUAAUUAAUUUUGUAAUAACUGUCAGACUUAUUAAAUCUCAUAGGCGUUGAUUUUACUGUAAUCUUAAUCUUGAGUUAAUUAUGAUUUCAUGAUUGUAAUUGUUAUUCCAUUUGAGUUACCAAUGGGCACGACACAUCCUUGUGGUCAAGAUUACCUGGUAUCUUGGUGGGAGCAAUUAUGAGUAUUGGAGUUAUGGAUUAACAAUAUAGAAUUCGUACAACACAUCUCUUGAUAGGUUUUCGGCACUUGAUAAUAGAAUUCUCUGGCCAGAGUGUGUCAACAUAUUUAGUAUGUUGAAAAUGAUCAUUAGAGAAAACCAGUAAGGAUCAAGGAAUAAGAUGUUAUUAAAUUGAUUGGACAGUUGAGAUAUCAAUUUAAUUAACGAUGUGGUACAAAGGAUUGUGCAGUAAAGAAAUCAAUGUGGCUUGGGACGAAUUAUUAUUCGAGCAUACAAUUAUGGAAGUCAGUUCCAAUAUUUUAGUGGAGUAGAUUUGGAAUUAAAUAAUUGGGCUAGUUUAAUUACAGACCUAAUUAUUGUAGCCACUAUUGUAUGUUCCCAAAUGAUCCCCAGGUUAGCCCAUUUAAUUGACUGCACUACUACUGGACUAAUAAGUAAGAUAAUUAGCUAUUUGGGUCAAAAGACUAAAUAUAUCAUUUAGUGGGAGGCUCCAUUUAAUUAGCUUUUGUGUAAAGGGCCUUAUGUUAUUUUACAAGGUGGGUCCCCUGUUGAAAAAGCAAAUAACGUGGAUUUUGUUUUUGAUUAUUUGGAGCCUAGGGUUUUCACUAAAAGGUGAUAUAAAAGGCUUAUUUUCUCUAAAGAAGAGGUGGUAGCCACUUUAUACAGAUUAGAGAAAAAUAUUUUUCUCUCUAUUGUUGAGAGAAAAAUUUUCUCGUGCUAGUUGCUUUGGUAGUGAUAAAGGCGCCGACACGUCAAGUGCAGAUCGAACCUGAGUCAUAACCUGGAAGAUCAUUGGUGACAGUUCGUGAUCUAACAAGCGUGGUGGUGACGGAUCGUGAUCUAACAGGAGUGGUGGUGGCGGAUCGUGAUCUAACAGGAGUAGUGGUUGCGGAUCGUGAUCUAGGAUCCUAAAUCACUUCAGCGGAAAAAGCCAACUCGGAUUUUCAAGGUACGAUUUCUGGAUUACGUAUUCCUAUAUAUUAUAUGAGAGCGGUCCUUAAAAGGUUUUAUAAAAUUUUAAAAACCUGAUUUUUCUCCAACACACUUCACAGCAGAUUUGUCUUUAUAAAGUCAGAGACAGAGAUUGUGAAAAGGAUUAUAUAUUACUGUAAAGCCAAACAAUUAUAUAUACCAGUUCAUGAAGCUGAAAAAGGAAAGUUACAGAGGAUUCCUUAGUCAAUGGAAUUGCAGAGAUUACUCCUAAAGUCAAGCACAAUCAUGUGAAUCAUCUUAAUUGAAGGAGGAGAUUGAUUCUAUCCUUUUAUGCCCCCGCAAGAUGGUGCCAUCAAUGACACCAAUCUUGGAUCGAAUUAAGGCAAAACGAGACUUAGCUAAUGGUUUUGUAAGGACAUCCGCUAGUUGAUCGUUGGUGGAGACAUGAGCAACUUGGAGAGAGCUAGCUGAAACUUUUUCACGCACAAAAUGAUAGUCGAGGGCAAGAUGCUUCAUCCGUGAAUGAAAUACCGGAUUGACACACAAGUAUGUGGCACCUAUAUUGUCACAUAAUAGAUGAGGUGGCAGAGGGAGUUGGAGACGUAGCUCACUGAGAAGAUUUGUAAUCCAUGUAAGUUCGGCUACUGCUGAAGCAACUGUCCGUUAUUUUUUAGAGCACCAAGAAAUUGGGUUACCGCCAAGAAAAAUGAUAUAUGCUGAUAUUGAUGUGCAAUCAUCUCGGUUUCCUGCCCAAUCAGAAUCAGAAUAAGCUGUCAAGGUUAGUUGUCGAUGACGGUGGAGAUAAAGACCAUACGUAAUAGUGUGUUUGAGAUAUCGGAGUAGCCGUUUUGCUGCUGUCCAAUGAGUUUGACGCGGAGAGUGCAUGUACUGGGCUAACUUAUUGCUUGCAUAGGAAACAUCAGGACACGUGAGAGAUAAAUAUUGCAUUCCUCCAAUUAAGCUGCAAUAUCGAGAGGCAUCAAUUGGGGGAGAGCCAUCAUUAAGGAUGAGGUGAGUAAUGGAGCUAAGAGGAGUGGUUGUUUCUUUGAUACUUUCCAUGUUGAAUCGAGCAAGUAAGUCACGGAUGUAUUUCUGUUGAGAAAGAAAUAAUCCAUUACUUGUGGGAAUCAGCUCUACACCCAAAAAGAAAUUCAAUGGCCCAAGGUCUUUGAUUGAGAACUUGUGAGAGAGAGUGGUAAUGACGUGGCGAAUGAGAGUUAUAGAGUUGCCUGUGAUUAACAAGUCGUCUACAUAAACUAAAAAAUAAACACGAUAGAUUUGUUAGUAUAAACAAAUAAAGAAGAGUCUGAGUGACAGUUCACAAAACCUUGAAAUAGAAUGAAGUUCUUAAGCUCGGUGAACUAAGCGCGAGGAGCUUGUUUUAAGCCGUAAAGAGACUUCUGCAAGCGGCAUACAUGGUGAGGUCGGGAGGGGUCAAUGAAACCGGGUGGCUGAGACAUGAAAACUUCCUCAUCAAGAUGCCCAUGAAGAAAGGCAUUAUUGACAUCUAGUUGAUUAAUUGGCCAACCAGAUGAGAUUGCAAUAGAUAGAACAACUUAAAUAGUUGUGGGUUUUAUCACUAGACUAAAAGUCUCAGUAUAAUCUAAACCAGGACGUUAAUUGAAUCCCUUGGCAACUAGACGAGCCUUAUAUCUAGCAACACUCUCAUCAGGAUUUCGUUUGAUUCGAAAAACCCAUUUACAGCCAACCACAUUGUGAUGAGAUUCUCGAAGCACUAGAUCCCAUGUUCCAUUUUUGGCAAGAGCAUGCAGCUCUUCACGCAUAGCAUUUGUCCACUCUUUCUGUUUAAGGGCUUGGGAGACAGAGGUUGGUUCUAGUGAUAAUGGUAUAAGAUGCUUUGUCGCAGUAAGGGUGAAUAUAGUUUUUGGCCUGAAAAUAUUAUUUUUUUAAGCGUGUUUGCAUUGGAUGAGAAGGAUGUGGAGUGUUGGUGUUUUCAGUUGGAUGAGAAGAAUUAUUACCAAGGAGCAACUCAUGGAUGGAGGAGUUCAAUAAAGUCUCGGGAGUGGUAGUUGGCAGAGAUUGAUCAUCGACAAGCGGGAUGUCACAAACUUGCAUGGAUUCAUGAGUAUUGGAAUUUGGAGGGGAUGGUUGUGUGGGGCUAGACGCAAUUGAUAAAGGUAUAUUUAGAUUAUGCAUGGAGGUUGGUUCACGUGAAUCAUGGGAUUGACUAUGAAAGGUGGUAGAAGUUGGGCAAUUUGGAGUAUUCAUGGAAAAAGGAUCAUGUGAAAUGGGGGGAUGAGUGUGAAAGGGACGAAAUUUAGGAAUAGGAAUAUUGGGAUCCUGGGGGAUUGGCUGCCUGAGAGAAUUUUCCAAAUUGGGAGAAUCGGAAUUGGAAAAUAAAGGACUUGAUGGAGACGUAUAUUUGGAACACCAUUUGGAAAGAGUAUGGUUAUUGACUUUAUCAUGAUUUGUGCAUGUAGACAUAGAUGGAAAUAUACUUUCUUCGAAUUGGACAUGCCGAGAGUAAUAGAAUUUAUGGUCAAUGGGAUCAAAGCAAAUAUAUGCAUUGUGUAAAUUAGAGUACCCAAGAAAUAGACAGGCUUUUGACCGUUGUUCAAGUUUGUGUGUAUUAUAUGGACGAAGCCAUGGAUAACAUAAACACCCAAAAAAUUUUAAUUUAGAAUAAUUGGGAGAUGAAUGGAAUAAACACUCAAAGGGUGAUUUGUUUUGUAGGAUAGGUGUUGGAAGUCGAUUUAUUAGAUAGAUAGUAGUUUUGAAGGCAAAUGACCAAAGAGAUAAAGGCAAUGAUGCUCAAUGAAGCAUUGUAAGGCCAGUUUCGACAAUAUGGCGAUGACGGCGUUUGGCAGAAGCAAUGUGCUGAGGUGUAUAAGGAGGUGAAACCAAAUGUUGGAUUCCAUGAGUUUCAAAAACUGUUUUCAAACCUUGAUACUCUUUUCCCUCAUCAGUAUAAAUUGUAUUAAUGGAUGACUUAAAAUAUUUUUCAACCAUGACCUUAAACUUUGGAAAAAUGGAGAAGACAUCGGAUUUAUAUGUUAAAGGAAAUAACCAUGAAUAUUUGGUGAAAUGGUCUACAAAGAUAAUAUAAUAAGAAAAACCAUCCAUUGAUCUAAUUGGAGAAAGACCCCAUACAUCAGUGUAAAUAAGAUCUAAAGGAUGAUGACUCUUUAAACUAGACUUGCCAAAGGGUAAUUUAUGGCUUUUAUUACACUGACUUGAAUCACAAAAUGAUGACUUAGAAAAGGCUGGGAGAUUGUUUUGGGAGAUAACUUGGUGGAGAAUUUUGGUUGAUGGGUGACCAAGUCUAUCACGCCAAUUGUUAAGAGAGGCUUUAAUGCUCAUGCAAGCUUGCUUCAUCAUACUUGUAGAGACAUCUCCAGCAGACCAUUCAUAGACAUUAUUCUUGCUCCGUCCCUUCGCGAGUAGUGCCCUCGUGGUUAGAUCCUUCACACAAAACGAAGAGGGAUAAAGUUUAAUAGAUGCAUUAUUUGUUUUACAAAAUUGUGAGACAAAUAUUAAGUUUUGCUUCAUAGAUGGGACACACAAAACAUUCGAAAGUGAAAAUGAGUGAGAUGGAGUGGAAAUAGUGGACUUGCCAACAUGUGUAAUAUUUAGACCAGUGCCAUCACCGAUUACAAUGUCAUCAGGGCCUUCAUAUGGUUGACGAAGAGAUAGGUUGCGAAUGUCGGAAGUGACAUGAUGAGAUGCUCCAGAAUCCACCAACCAAUUAGAUGCCAUGUUAUUGGAAGUAGUGGUUGGAUUUGCAGUAGGUGCUGAGGUUGUAAAAAAUAAUUUCUUUGCAGCAUUGCAUUGGCGUGCAGUGUGUCCCCGUUUCUCACAAAAUUAACAAAUCACAGUGGUAUUCUUGCUCGAAUUUGGAUUUCCAAAAUUAUUUGAAUUGAAAUUAUUACUUUGAUUUCCAAGGGUGCUGCCUUGAUUUCCAAAAUUGGGUUGUCGUUGGCUCUGGCUUCCUUUGUUGUUUUGGAAGUUUUUCUUGCCAAAUUGAUUACCAUUUUUUGAGGAAGAGAAAUGGGUAGCAUUGGCAAUGAUAUUCCCAAGAUUUCCAGCAGAUCGAAGUUCCUCUCGUUUGAGAAAGGAUUUAUAUUUGACAAGUUUGUCAUGAAGUUCAUCGAAGUUGAUCAUGGUAUCUCUCGCCCGCACGGCAGCUGCAAGUUCCUUGAAUUCGGGACCCACGCCGUUGAGAGUGUGAGUAAUAAGGUAUUGAUUUGGAAUAGGUGCUCCAAUUAAAGCCAAUUCAUCUACAAUGUCGCGAAUAGUAGCAAGAUAUUCGACUACUGGUUGUGAGCCUCGACUAAUGAGGGUGAGUUGUUCUGUUAACCCCAUGGUUCUUCAGGAUGAAGAAUUGACAUAAUUUUUUACUAAACGUGUCCAGGCUUCUGCAGAAGUUUUGCAUGAUCGAACCACAGGGACAACUUUGUGGCUAAGAGAGCCAAUUAUGCCAAGCAGAAGGAGUUUAUCUUGUCUUGUCCAAAGAAUAUACUCAGGAUUUAAGACUUUAUUGCCAUCAUUCUUAAUAUGUGAGGGAGGGCAAGGAUUUGUUCCAUCAAUAUACCCAACUAAAUCAUACCCAUAGAGCAAGGCAUCGAACUGUGAUUUCCAUGAGAAAUAAUUCGAAGGAGUCAACUUUAGAGGAAGUUGGUUGGCUACAUUGAUGGCUAUAAGGUUGUUUAGGUUUAGGGAGAUGUUGGUAGUUGUUUGAUUUGAAGAAGAAGUUGUUGAGUAUUCGUUGGUCAUGGUGGAAGUAUAAAAAAGAGAUUAAGACAAGGAUCAAUGACUCGUGUGAGUAAUAGCUUGCUCUGAUACCAUAUAAAGUCAGAGACAAAGAUUGUGAAAAGGAUUAUAUAUUACUGUAAAGCCAAGCAAUUACAUAUACAAGUUCAUGAAGUUGAAAAAGGAAAGUUACAGAGGAUUCCUUAGUCUAUGGAACUGCAGAGAUUACUCCUAAAGUCAAGCACAAUCAUGUGAAUCAUCUUAAUUUAAAGAGGAGAUUGAUUCUAUCCUUUUAGUCUUCUACAUUGUAUCUCACUGUCCAUCCGUGAGAAAAUUUCAGAAAUAUUUUCACAUACCCAUCAACCUGCUAACAAGUAUCACAAGUAAAAGAGUCAUCGAAACUGCUUUUAACUAUAGGUCCAGAUAACUUGAGGCAGAAAUAAAACUUCAAUGUGAACCUGUUAAGUGUCAUUACGAAUGCACAGAUCAGAACAUGUCCAAAUAAUGAACUUUACCGAUAUAUUGCUUUAAUUGAAAUGGUCACAUCAUACAUAUUAUUAAAAAUCACGGAAUACACACACACACACACACACAUGCAUACCUCAGAUUUAUCAGUUAAGACCUCUUCAAAUUGCUUCAAGAGAGCUAGGGGAGAAAUCUGAUCAAACUCGGCUCUUAGUACUGCAAUGGGAACCUCAACCGCUGAAAGUAAUACCAAAGAAUAUGGUUUGUUACACCAAUGCAACAAUAAAGACCAAUUGAAUAGUCCAACAAAAGAUAAAGAAACAAACUAAAAGACUUUCCCAUCUGCGUGCAAUGACCAGAACUAUUAUAAGGACUUACAUGUAAAUUACUGGGUACACAUUCAUCUAUAAGCUAUUCCGUGCCUAAAAACACACACUGACAAGCGAAAAAUCUAUGAAUCCAUACCCUCAAUAUCAUCUACAGUUACGAAAGAGGGAUGUAACAACACAACAGCCUGGAUGAACUCAUGCUUCGCUAGUUCAACUGCUACUUCAGCUAAGAAUAAAAGUUAGUUGAUAGCGGUCAGUUCAAGAUAUCACUGUUAUUAAGUAUAUUACAUCCCUACCCUUAAUUUUCAUUCAUUUUAUAAUAAUACCCUUACUUUUCUUUCCCUUUAACUAGAGGUGGCAAAACAACUAAACGAAUCGAAUUCGAAUCGAAUCGUAAACGAAUUGGGUUAAAAUUCUACUGAUUUGGAUUCGAUUUGUUUAUUAAAUGAAUAUUCAGUUUGAUUCGUUUAAUUCAUUUAAUGGAACUAAUAAACGAAUCGAAUCUAAUUCGGAUUCAUUUAUUUGUUUAUCCUAUUACUAUUCCAUAAUGAAUUGAAUCAAAUCAGGAUUGUUUACAAUUCAUUUAGAAAAAAUAAUUAAUAAACAAAAUUAAGCAAAAUAAAAUAUAAAAAAGCCACAAAUUUAGUAUCCUACAACAAAUACAAAUAAUACAAACCACAUUCUAAGAUUAAAUACACAGUCAUCUAAAUUACAAUAUUAACUUUCAAAUUUUAAAAAUUUUCAAAUAAAUUGAAGGACAAAAAAAUAAUUUAAUGAAACGAAUUUUAAACGAAUCAACAUGUAUUCGAUUCGUUUAUGACCCGUUUAUUAAAUGAAUCCUAAAUGAAUAAACGAAUCCAUAUCUUUAAAUCUAGAUUCGAUUCAUUUAAUUAGCGAAUCGAAUCGAAUUCACCUAUUUAUUUAACGAAUCAAUUUUUUCAAACCUAAACCCAUUUAAUUCGCAUCGAAUGGAAUUGAAUAAACGAUUUCUGACCCAUAUUGCCACCCCUACUUUUAACUAACAAAGGAAAUUUUUUUAAUACUAUCAUGGAUCAUUUACAGAAAAACGUGGGUCUCUAUAACAAUAGACUAUAGUUUAAUAGUACAAGUAUGUACUAAAGAAAUUGUACAUAAACACAUGCACAAUAAACUACAAGUAUGCACUGAUAAAGAUCACUAAGAUCCCAAAUAUCUUUCUCAAUCAACCCCAAUAUAAAUCAAAACCAAGGUAAUAUCAUGCAUAUAAAUGUGGCAACUAUUAUUGCCAUUGUGACAUGUACAGAUGUCAAGUAUCACGGCCAAUAUGGUAUCAAAAUAUAGAAGAAAUCCUCAAUUUAUAGUGAAUGAUUAUUUUCCUUUUAUGUAAUCUAUGUGCAUUCUCUUAUAAAUUGGGCAUUUGAGCUUUGAAUAAAAAUGAAAUUUCUAUUUUGUAUAUUGUUUCUAAAAAGUUUUCAUACACAAAGUAAGGUCGCCGAUCACUUCGUCAACUCCAGCGUACUUAUUUCGACUAUAAUAUAUAUUUGGUUCUGAUGGGAGCUUGGGUUGUUGGUCCAUGCUAAUAUAUAUAUAUAUAUAUAUUUUUUGUGUCCAACCAAGGAGUUUCCAAGUAUUUCAACAACAAUGCGGCAAGCACGCCAAUCACACAAACAAGUCCUUCUCUAGUACGGGGCCUCACUUUUUCAUGCGGUUACACUUCUAAACCAUGAAGUUUAAUAGAGUGAAAGUGUAACGCUAUUAAACUACACAACCUUAAAGCACAUUCAAAAGUAACUUUAUUAAAUUGCAAGACUUAACAGCAUGUCUGCAUGUAGGGAUAGUAGAAUAACCCAUAUCUAGAUGAACCCGGAAAAUUCAGGUCAGAUUCAACCCAUACCGUAGCAAAAUAUAUUUGGUAUUUGGAUGUUAUUUUAUGAACCCAGUCGAAUCCAAGUCCGGGUCCUGUUUUAGGUAAAUCCGGAUAUCAAGAACCCAGACCCAGAUUAUUUUAUUUUAAUAUUUAAUUAAUUAUUUUUAAAUAUUAUUUAAUUAGUUAUUGUUAAUUAUUAUUUAUGAGUAUAAAAGCAAAAUGAGAAAAACAAAACAAACCCUACAUUUCACAGCCGCCGUUUUUAGUCCUAUUCAUUGCCUAAAUUUCAACAAAUGAAUUCAACAUCAUCGUCGUCGCCCAAUUGAUCAUCACCCAUCAAUCAUUAGCAACACAACAUCCCCGCCGUGGCCACACUUCUGUGCAAGUUUCAAGAAUGGACUUGAUACCAAGGCAAAGAAGUCAAGGAAGCAAUUGACGGAAACGAAGAACAUGGCUAAGAAGAUCAGUGGUGUAAAGAAGACCAAGGCCUUAGAUGCUGCCGAGAAGAAGUGAACAAUUCAUUCUUUUGUGGUGUCGAAGCCAACUUUCGGUGAUGGAGUUCUAUGAUAGUCUUUGUUGGUAUAGUUUCUAAAAUGAAAUAUAUUGUGUUGUGGAUUUUGGUGUUAUUUGAUGUUUAUGUAGUUAUAUUUCUAGAUUUUGAGUACUAAAAAAGAAAAAAAAAUCGUUUAUAUUGAGAUUUUGGUUGUCGGAAUCAUUGGGUUUUAUUUCCAGUUUAUGUGAUUCCCCAUCUUCCUCAUCUAUUUCAAGAGAUCCAUGACUUUAUUCUAUCUCCUUCUGCAAUUUCCAAACAGCACAAAAGCGGAAUGCUUGAUUUGUUUUUUAAUUUUGGGCAUUCAGUACUUCGAUCCGCGUUUGGAACCCGGAAUCUAGAAAUCCAAAUUUUUUCAGGUUGAGCCCAUACUGGAUCAAGAGCCUAAAAAUGGGGUUUAUAUCCAAAUUCGGUAUGCUAAAUUAUCAUUCGAGUUCGGAACUGAAAAGCCUAAACUCGGAUUCGAAUUUUGCCAUCCCUAUCUGCAUGAAAAAAAGAGAGGGCGCCAGCACUUGAGAAUGAUAAUAUAUACACAGAUAUAUAUGUGUACAUACCUGUAUAUAGUCCUUUAUUAAUGUGAGCGCCCUCAUUGUUUUUUCAUCUAUCACGUUAUAUAAUCAUGCAAUUUAAUACAAUUAUUUUGAUUAACUAUUGAACUACAUGGCGUUUUAUAGUAUGUCCACCAAAUAGGGUGUCUGCAUCUUAUAUCAUUAAUAAUCAAAGAAAAAAAUUUAAUAUGGAAUCAUAUGAAGUGAUUAUUAAGACUGACAGUGAGAUUCAUUCUUCUAAAUUAUUGCUUGAUGCGUCACAUUAAGGGAUCUGUCCAUGACUAUGUAGAUGAGUCUGAAAACUUUGAUGAGACUGAAAAGUUUUAGCUUUGAAAUUUGUAGAGGAUGUUAGUGCUAACACAUAUAAGAGAUCGAAUGCCUUUGCACUCCAACUAUACCUUAGUGUAUGCCGCCUUUUUAGCAACAGAAGUUGAAUGCCAACUUUGGGAAGAAUUUAAAAAGCAUUUGGAUAAGCUUGCGAAGAAAUUCAUUGACAAUGCAACCUCAAAAUUGCGUGAGAACAUGGCCAGAAAUGUCUCCAAGAAGGUAAUUGGACAGGUCCAUGACAACAUGAGAUUUCAAAUGUCGAUCAGGAAGUAAUUAGAGAGACGUCUGAAAUUGCAAAGGAAGGGGUAAAGUCCAAUCUUGAUUUGAGCAUUGAUUUUAACAGUAUGGUUGUUACGGUUCUAUCAAUCUCUAUAUUGAAGCUAGAGAACUGUUCUAGAAGAAGACCUUACGGUAAAUAUUAAGUUAGGUGACAACAUUGAGCAAGAUUUAGAGAAAGACUCAAGAGGCUUCCAAGUGAUUAUUGAGUCCAAUACGGCCUUAUUGCAUUUUUUCAGUUUGUUAAACGACCCAAGAUUAUCUCCUUGCCCAUCGCUUUAUAUAAUUCAGACGUUGAUUAUUGGCGAUAAUGUCCUUAAUAAAAUGCUUUUCAUCAAAUUUCAUCUUUUGAUCAAGAACAUACAAACAGCUACAGUUUGACUUUGUUUAUUUAAUUAAUUUGGUCUCUAACUAGUUAUUCAUUCUCCUUUCUAUUUUUAUUUGAAUAAUUGAUUUAAUAUUGCAGCAUUUUUUGGUUUAGAGCAUAGAAAUAAAAAGGCAUCUCGAUGAAAAUGAUAGAAAUUAAUUAAUUACCAUAUAGGUUUGUUAUUAGUUGUAGGGGUAGAGCUCAGAGUAAAUCUCGAGGGAGCUAAAUUCAAACAAGUAGCAAUAGGGGAUGGAUUUUAGAUGGUUUUUUCAUCUAUAGCUAUGGUGUAAUCCUGAAAAUUUAUAAAUUUUGCUUGUAACUGUAGUAAUUUUAAUUUGGAGAUUUUGAUUAAUAAUUGAGGCUAGUGUUACAAAUAAAGAAUAAAAUAAAAAAGUAAUUAACAAAAUAAAGAUCAAAGAGAUAGGUCUUAACUUCAUCAAAAUUUUAAAAAGCUAUUUGCUAUUUUAUUAGGAUGAAAAAGGAAAUACCAAAAUAAAGAUCAAACCCUUUAAAAAAAAUAAUAGAUAAAUAUCAAACAAUUAGGCAACUUCAACUUUGUUUCACAAAAUAUAAAGCUCCAUUUUCAUCAUAUAUAUAAAGUUUACAAAUUAAUUGUGUAGGGGCCAAAUCAGUAUUUUUUUAUAUUUCCUUUAAAAAUUUCAAAAUUUUUUUAAAGCUUGCAGGUGCCUUGUCACUGCUAGUCUUAAGCACCCUCUGCUCCUAAUCAGAUGGAAAUUAUAAGUUAAUUUUCUUCAGACACUUAUAUCAUUUUGCAAUGCAAAUUAAUUACGGUAAACCUAAGUUUGAUUAAUUCCUGAGAGCUAGCUAGCUUCUGGUUAUAUAUAUAUAAUAACUAUUAAUUAACUAUUGAAGCAAAUAGUCUUUUAUAAAUAUAUAAAUGUCUUUUAUAAAUAUACCAAUGAGUUUAAUCUUAAAUUUUAUUGAAAUAUGAAAGUGAAUUCACGCAGCCCUUCAUACCCAAAAUGGAGUACCAAAAAUAAAAACAGAGACAAAAGUUAAACUAAAAAACAGCCGCAUGUACGUGAAGUCGUGGGUUCGUGGUCAUGGGUUCGAACCCCCACAUUGCAUUGUGGAGCUUUAAUUUUCUUCCUCAAUUUGAAUGAAGACAAUCUUUUUCCUUUUAAAAUGUGACUGGAGUAGACUUCCCUUAAAUAUUAAAGAGGAUAAAAAUCUGGGCGGACUUCAUAAAAAUUGAUGUAAAUUAGUUCCAGUAAUAAUCUGAUUUGUAAAUAUCAAUUGUAAUUCAUAUAAUAUGAGUUGUGCUCUUGAGCAAUAAUCUUGCGUAAUAAAAAAAACAUACCCGCACGCUAAAGCCAAAUUAACUUGAAAACAUACAUCAAGAAAUCUAAACAUUGCACACAGCUGAUAUAUUCUUCAUCUUCAGGAUAGCUAGGAUGUACGACUGCAGCCUCCUUCUGUGAAUAUAUUUGAAGUGUGCAAGCCUCACAUAAUUGAACAAGCGGCAAUAAUAUUUGCAAUGGGAAGUGCAGCUUCGAAAACUCUAAGUGCGACUUGCCAUGGAAACUAGAAAUCAAUAAAUAAUUUUAACAUGAAGAAAUUCACUAUCAGACUUUAGAUAGAUCAACAAGAAAUUCACUCCCAGAAUAUAUAAAAAUCAACACGGCUCCUCAGCACUAUAUCCAAAUUUAUAAAAAUGCUAUGCACCAAAUUAAAUAAUCGAGUAAUUAUUCAAAAUUAAUUAAUUAAAGUUUGGUCAAACUCACCCUUCCCACGACUGGGGUAUUUGAAUUGUAAGGAACAACUGCAAGAUUUGAAGGACUUUCUGAACGAUCGGGCCGACUCGUGGGGGUCCUGAUGCUUCUGAACAUUGAAGGCCUUUCUGAAUGAUCGGGCCGACUCGUGGGGGUCCUGAUGCUUCUGAACAUUGAAGGACUAUCUGAAUGUUCGGGCCGACUCGUGGUAGUUCCUUGGGUGCUGAUGCUUCUGAACGUUGAAGGACUUUCUGAAUGAUCGGGCUGACUCGUGGCAAUCCCUUGGGUGCUGAUGCUUCUGAACAUUGACUGCAAUCAAUUGCAGGUCAAUACAAGUUUUAUAAAUAGGCAAUUAAUUUCAAAAAUUAAAAUCUUCAAUUAGUAUAUAGGUGAAUGUUUUUUUAGUGCGUUAUAUUUUGAAUUAAGUGUCAACCCCCUUGUUUUGGGCUUAGAGGGCUUUGUUUCGCCUUCGGCUUCAACUACUUUUGCUUCGAAUAGAUGGCACCCAUUAUACGAGAUAAAAAAAAGACAUUCAAUUCUAUAUUUUAAAAAAAUACUAAAAGAUACUCCUACUAAUAAAUAUAUAACAUUUUCUCAUAUUUUUCUUUAGUUUUCCAAUAAUACUCUUGCAACAAUCUAAAAAAAUUAAUUAAUUAAUCUAUAAAAAAAGUUAAUUAGCAAAUUACCAAUAAUUAUCUGUCUAAAGAAAUUGAUAUUUUUCAGACACUUGCAAUAAUCUCUAAUAAAUAUUUAUAAAUAAAUAAAUUACCAACUUAAAGCUACAUUUAAUAUCUUGUUAAUAAUUGUAAAAAAAAUUAUAUUACCUAAUUAAUCCUAAAAGUAAAAUAAUAAAAAAAUUUAUUUUACUUUUAAUGUUAAUUUUUAUUUUACUUUUAAUGUUAAUUUAAUAAAUUAACUUUUUUUUUCUUUUCGUUAGCAUCACCAAAAAUAUUAUUGCAUGGAUAUUAUCAUUAAAAAUAAGGAAAAGAUAAGGGUAUACUAGUAACAGUAUUUUAAGAUUUUUUUUUUAAAUAUAAGAGCUAAAUAGACACCUAAUAUCAAAAUAUAGAGACAAAACUAAUAUUUACUCAUAAUAAUAUAAUAAUAAUAAUAAAUACCUGAUGAUUGGGUAAAGGUUUCUUCCUCAAAGACUCAAGCAACGAAAAAAUUAUCCACAAAAUGCGAACGGCCAUGAUUGUGAUCGUGACGCCCUUUAUCGCAGAAACAUUCCAGGCAGAUACUGUAAGCAGCUGUCUGGGGUUCAAAGCAGCUCAUGCAAGUGAAAUACUCAUUGGUUAUGAAGAUUUUGCACUGGCCGCAAAUUGGCCUUCCACUUUUCAGUAUAUAGUAGAGAGUCAACACUUCCUUAAAAUCUAAACCUCCGCUUCUAUCGAUGUCUAGUUGAUUGAAGAAGUCACGAGUACGCAUGUUAUCAUCAUGUGCUUCCAGCGACAUGAAAUCUGAAUACUCCCUGUAACUCACCCUACCGUUUCCAUCUUGAUCCAUUGAUAGGAAAAAUAGGUUGAAUAAACGUCUUUCUUCAUCGGUUCCAGAAUUAUAAUACGCUAAAGC
rnacentral:lncRNA from 1 species